GUCUGUGUGUGUGCUAGGAUUUGGUCUGAGACUUUCUUUUAUUACCAAGCUGUAGUAGAGACACCAAUCCUUACCUACCCUCUAAGAUUUGAUGAUCUCUGAGAAUUUCCAAAAUGAGUGUAAGAAUUGUGAUGAUCAAACAGCAUUACCUCCUUACUCUACUCCUUAAUUACAGAAUAGGAUAGAUUUCCCAAUAGUAUAGGUUUCCCAUUAAGACCAUGUUGUUGAAUACCCUGCUGCCAACCUUUUUCCACAGUGAGGAUUGGGAUUGUUUUACCCCAUUGGGCGGUCCUCUUUGGUCCAACUCUGGGUUUGAGUGUCCUCCUUCAUCUUCAUCUUGUUCUGGAUGUUAGGUUUCAGUCCUCUUAUGUCUAAGUCCUUACCAUUACUGGUGUCAGAGUCAUUCACUUACUCAUUCAGCAACUAUUAAUUGAGCACCUUCCGUUUACUAUACAGUGUUCCUGACCCAAGGGAUAUUUCAGUCAAUAAGACAGGGUUGAUGCAUUUUUUGGAUCCUUUAGAGAUGUUCACCCUCAGAUAAAACUGUUAUGGUCAUCGGUAUUCUAGUCUUUGUGUGGGCAUAUGCUUUCAUUUCUCUCAGAAUCCACAUGCAGUCCCUUUGGCAAUUGAAGUUACAAGGAUAACAUCUCUUUUGUUGACAUAAAACAUGGGAACUUCAGUGGCAGGAUCUCAUUAUCUGAUUACAGAUGUGACUUUGAAGUAAUCUCUCUGAAUGAGCAUUUUUGGAAGAGUUGUUGCUCCCAAGCCAAGCCCAAGGUUGUGGAAGGGGAUUUGCAAA
ensembl:lncRNA